UUCACUUACGCAUUUAAUUGGUUAUUGAUUCAGGCUUACCCACACAUGUUUCAACAAGUGCGUCGAGAAGAAGUACAAGGAGUCUGAGCUAAAUAUAUGGGUGAAAACAGUUGCAUUGAUCGGUGCGUGUCAAAAUACUGGCAUGUAAGUAUCUAUCUGUUUCAUAUGAUUUUAGUGCUAGUGUAUUGGAUUACGUUAUAAGAACAAUCCCAGUCAUCCUUCAAAUAUUUUUAUUUCUUCA